ensembl:snoRNA Gm25261 small nucleolar RNA SNORA17
CCUGCCCCAGAGGCACUGCAGGUGGCUGCUGUGUCCCAUGGGUGUCAGCAGGUGGCAGAGAGGAGAGAGAUAAUGUCUAUGCUCAGUGCCCCAACCUGCAAACAUCUGAAAGACCAGUAGCCUAACAUU